UACAGAGGUCCCGAGCGUUGUUCGGAUUCAUUGGGCGUAAAGGGUGCGUAGGCGGCGGGGCAAGUUUGAUGUGAAAUCCCGGGGCUCAACCCUGGAAUUGCAUUGAAUACUGCCUUGCUAGAGUACUGGAGAGGAAACUGGAAUUUACGGUGUAGCAGUGAAAUGCGUAGAGAUCGUAAGGAAGACCAGUGGCAAAGGCGAGUUUCUGGACAGUUACUGACGCUGGAGGCACGAAGGCCAGGGGAGCAAAACGGG
rnacentral:rRNA from 1 species